GGGGGGGGGGGGGGGGGGGGGGGGGGGGGGGGGGGGGGGGGGGGGGGCGGGGGGGGGUGGCGCGUACGGGGGGGGGGGGGCGGGCGGGGGGGGACGACGGCGGCAUGGACUGGUUGGGGGGGGGUAACGUAGGGGGACUGACGCGCAUACCGCCGCCGACCUCGGGGUGGACGCGGGGGCUCUCGGUACCUUCGUCUGCUGAAUGGUCCGAUGUCGGAUUAGCUAGUUGGCGGGGUAAAGGCCCAUCAAGGCGACGAUCCGUAGCUGGUCUGAGAGGAUGAUCAGCCACACUGGAACUGAGACACGGUCUAGACUCCUACGGGAGGCAGCCGUGGGGAAUAUUGGACAAUGGGAGCAAGCCUGAUCCAGCCAGACCGCGUGGGUGAAGAAGGCCUUCGGGUUGUAAAGCCCUUUUGUUGGGAAAGAAAAGCAGCAGGUUAAUACCCCGCUGUUCUGACGGUACCCAAAGAAUAAGCACCGGCUAACUUCGUG
rnacentral:rRNA from 1 species